CCUACGGGAGGCAGCAGUGGGGAAUAUUGGACAAUGGGCGCAAGCCUGAUCCAGCCAUGCCGCGUGUGUGAAGAAGGCCUUCGGGUUGUAAAGCACUUUUGUCCGGAAAGAAAAGCUUCGGGUUAAUACCCCGGGGUCCUGACGGUACCGGAAGAAUAAGCACCGGCUAACUUCGUGCCAGCAGCCGCGGUAAUACGAGGGGUGCAAGCGUUACUCGGAAUUACUGGGCGUAAAGCGUGCGUAGGUGGUUUGUUAAGUCUGAUGUGAAAGCCCUGGGCUCAACCUGGGAAUGGCAUUGGAUACUGGCGAGCUAGAGUGCGGUAGAGGGUAGUGGAAUUCCCGGUGUAGCAGUGAAGUGCGUAGAGAUCGGGAGGAACAUCUGUGGCGAAGGCGACUACCUGGACCAGCACUGACACUGAGGCACGAAAGCGUGGGGAGCAAACAGGAUUAGAUACCCUGGUAGUCCACGCCCUAAACGAUGCGAACUGGAUGUUGGGAGCAAUUAGGCUCUCAGUAUCGAAGCUAACGCGUUAAGUUCGCCGCCUGGGGAGUACGGUCGCAAGACUGAAACUCAAAGGAAUUGACGG
rnacentral:rRNA from 1 species